rnacentral:lncRNA from 1 species
AGGAAUGCAUGCGGACACUCUGUCCAGGAAUUUGGCUAACAGGAAAGAGACAAACUGUAGGGCAAAGCAAGUUUAGUUCUUUUUUUUAGGAAGGGAGAUGUUACUGUGAAUUUGUAUGAUGAUGGAAAUGAAUCAGGAGAAAGGGGAAAGUUCAGAACUGGGCUCCGUGGUGCAGCCUAUGAUCCCAGCCACUCAGGAGGCUAGGGCAGGAAGAUUGCAAGUUGCAGGCAAACCUGGCCAACUUUGUGAGAUGCUGUCUCAAAACAAUACAUAAAAAGUGGGGAGGACGUAGCUAAGUGGUAGAGCAUGCCUGGGUUCAGUCCAUAGUACCACAGACACACACACACAAAAAGGGUAUCUUACAGAAGCCAGGUGUGCUGGUUCAUACCUGUCAUCCCAGCAACUUGGAGGCAAUUUAGUAAGCUUCAGAAUUUUAUUUUAUUUUAUUUGGCAUCAGAGAUUGAAUCAAGGGGUGCUUAACCACUGAGCCAUAAUCCCUAACCUUUUUAUUUUUUUUAUUUUGAGACAGGGUCUCACUAAGUUUCUGAGGGCCUCACUAAAUUGCUAAGGCUGGCUUUGAACUCAUGGUCCUCCUGUCUCAGCCUACCUAGCCAC